rnacentral:lncRNA from 1 species
CUCCCUCCCGCGUCUUCCUCGGGCGGCAGGACCUCUUACCCGCCUUCAGCCUCCCCGGAACUGGGCUCAACUGUCGGAGCAGCAGAGAUCCCCUCUCCAGGAGGAGCGGCUGCUCCCGCUGCCACCGGCUUCAUCUCCCCCUCUUCUGCCCCUGUUGCAUUUGCGACCGCUCCUGGGCCAGGCCCGGCACCCGCUUCCUGGCCAGGUCCUGCUCCUGCCGCCGCCAUCACGGCCACCCCUGGACUUCUCGCGAGAAUACUCUCUUCUCUCGCGCGCGUUGCUGUGUGACGCUGUAGUCUUCAAACAGAAAAAGCCCGCGGUGCGUCCACCGCCUGCCUGAGGAAGCAUAAUUCCACGACCGCUUUAAGGCCAGGCGCGCGGGCAGAGGUGGGCCGGCCUCCCGCGCCGGCGGUGGCCGCGGGCCUGGCAGGCUGAAGGUGGAGGAAGCUAGAUGGUUAGUGCGGCUCUCUGGAGGACUUCCUUUCGAGUCAGGGACUGACGCGGCGUAUUUUCGUGGCUACGACUGGAUAUUCUGCGCAGAAGAGGGUCCUUGAGAGCGCUGGCCGUGCCGUGCCGCCAAACACUCCUCACCACCGAAUGUGGGAAACGUCUUCCUUGGAGUCUAGCACUCCCUGCCCGCCCCGGAUGGAAUUUGGUUUUCUGCGCAGGGUCGCCCCUUGGAGCCCGUUUCCAAAUGAUUUUAAGAGGGAAGGGAAUCUAGGGAGGCCGAUUCCAGGGGCGAGGGUGGAAAACCCAGGCCGGGCAGCCGAGGAGCGGCGUGGGCACUAGAAGCGGCUCGCCGCUUCCUACUGUGAGAGGCGGAAAGCGAAGCCCCGGGGUGUGCCGGGGCACUCGGAAUGUAGACAAGUUUGGUGCCCAGCGAAAGGAAGAGGUGUGGACUGAAAGUACGAACUUGGGAAGUCAUCAACAGUAGCUGGUGGCUGGCAUCAGUGGAGUGAGUUGAGUCUUUCAGAGCCAUGGUCUCCAAACUCGAGAAUGCAAACCUCUGAGAGUGUUGCGGCCAGGAACGUUUUCAGGACACCAGUGUUUAUCCUAUAUCCUAAAAUGUUGCCUAACGAUAAUACACUCUUCUCCCGCUUUACACAAGAACGGCGCACCCCUCGCCAAUCCUCAGUCUAAUCUUACUGUGAUGUGUCCACCGAUAGUGUAGGAAUCUCUGGGCCACUGGACGCCAUGGGAAAUACGUAGAUAUUGAUUUCCCAAUUGGUUCUCAAUUAUUGGUUUUCAACAAAAUUGAAGAAAGACCUAACUGAGUUGCCAGGUUACAUUUUUAAAAUUGAUGAUAAAUACUUAAAUCAGGGGUUGGUACUCCAAAGAGAAGCAGGAUGCUUGAUCUAAGUAUCUCCUCCCAAAUACGUAGUAUUGUAGCAGUUUUAACAUAUGGUCGCAGAAUUUUGUGUUUUCUUGUUGUUGUUUGUUUGAGACAGAGUCUCGCUCUGUCGCCCAGGCUGGAGCGCAGUGGCCCGAUCACGGCUCACUGCAACCUCCACCCCAGGUUCAAGCGAUUCUCCUACCUCAGCCUCCCGAGUAGCUGAGAUUACAGGUAUCUGUCACCACGCCCGGCUAAUUUUUGUUAGUAGAGGCGGGGUUUCACCAUGUUGGCCAGGCUGGUGUCGAUCUCCUGACCUCAAGUGAUCCACCCACCUGGGCCUCCCAAAGUGCUGGGAUUACAGGUGUGAGCCACCGCGCACGGCUUUUUUUUUUUUUUUUUGAAACGGAGUCUCGGUUUGUCGCCCAGGCUGAGUGCAGUAGCGCGAUCUCAGCUCACUGCAACCUCCACCUCGCGGUUUCGGGUUCAAGCGAUUCUCUUGCCUCAGCCUCCCGAGUUGCUGGGAUUACAGGCACGCGCCAUGACGCCUGGCUAAUUUUUGUAUCUUUAGUAGAGACGGGGUUUCACCUGUGUGUUUUUUUUUUUUUUUUCUGAGACAGAGUCUCGCACUGUCGCUCAGGCUGGAGUGCAGCAGUGGCGGCAUCAUACCUCACUGCCGCCUCAAGUUCCCCGGGUAAAGCAAUCCUCCUGCCUUAGCCUCCUGAGUAGCAGGGACUAUAGGCACGAGCCACCACGCCCAGCUAAUAUUCUUUUUUUUUUUUUUCUUUUUGAGACGGAGUGUUGCUCUGUCGCCCAGGCUGGAGUGCAGUGGUGCAAUCUCCGCUCACUGCAAGCUCCACCUCCCGGGUUCACACCAUUCUCCUGCCUCAGCCUCCCGAGUAGCUGGGACUACAGGCGCCCGCCACCGCGCCCAGCUAAUUUUUUGUAUUUUUAAUAGAGACAGGGUUUUUGCCGUUUUUUAGCCAGGAUGGUCUCAAUCUCCUGACCUUGUGAUCCGCUGCCUCGGCCUCCCAAAGUGCUGGGAUUACAGGCGUGAGCCACUGCUCCCGGCACGCCCAGCUAAUUUUCUUAAUUUUUAGUAGAGACAGGGUCUCAUCAUGUUGCUCAGACUAGUCUCCAACUCCCGAGCUCAAGCGAUCCUCUUGCCUGGGCUUUCCAGCGUGCUGGGAUUACAGGAGUGAGCCAUCAUGCCUCCACACAAAUUCUUUAAUACCCCCCUCCCCUUGAUUGUGUGGGCUGGACUCAGUGACUUGCUUCUAACUAAUAGAAUGUAGAAAAAGAAAAUAACAUGGCCAGACGCGGUGGCUCAUGCCUGUAAUCCCAGCACUUUGGGAGGCCGAGGCGGGCGGAUCACCUGAGGUCAGGAGUUCGAGACCAGCCUGACCAACAUGGAGAAACCCCGUGUCUACUAAAACUACAAAAUUAGCCAGGCGUGGUGGCGCAUGCCUGUAAUCCCAGCUACUCAGGAGGCUGGGGCAGGAGAAUCACUUGAACCCGGGAGGCGAGGUUACAGUGAGCCGAGAUCGCGCCAUUACACUCCAGCCUGGGCAACAAGAGUGAAACUACGUCUCAAAAAAAAAAAAAAAAAGAAAAAAAUAGUAAUUUUUAUUUUUUAUUUAUUUUCUUUUUCCUCUUGGUAGAAAAUAGUAGUUUUUACGGUGCAGAAAUGGGCGAACACACCACCUUACCCAAGUGGUCAGGUUAAUAUAACCAGUUAAAAAUUAUAGGCCGGGCGCAGUGGCCUACGCCUGUAAUCCCCGCACUUUGGGAGGCCGAGGCAGGUGGAUCACGAGGUCAGGAGAUCGAGACCAUCCUGGCUAACAAGGCAAAACCCCGUCUCUACUAAAAAUACAAAAAAUUAAGCGGGCGUGGUGGCGGGCGCCUGUAGUCCCAGCUACUUGGGAGGCUGAGGCAGGAGAAUGGCGUGAACCCAGGAGGUGGAGCUUGCAGUGAGCUGAGAUCGCACCACUGCACUCCACCCUGGGGGACAGAGCGAGACUCCGUCUCAAAAAAAAAAAAAUUAUAAAUAUACCCCCCGAUAUACAAUGAGAUGGCAACUUCAUCUCUUUGGUAUUCCCCAAAAUCCAUAAUCCAAGUCUAAUCAAGAGAAAGCAUCAGAUGAAUCCAAGUUGAAAGACAUUCUAGAAAAUAUGUUGGCUGGGUGCAGUGGCUCAUGCCUGUAAUCCCAGCACUUUGGGAGGCCAAGGCAGGAGGCAGGAAGAUUGCUUGAAGCUAGGAGUUCAAGACCAGCCUAGGCAGCAAAGCAAGACCCUGUCUCUAUAAAUUUUUUUUUUUUUUUGAGACAGAGUUUUGCUCUUGUUGCCCAGGGUGGAGUGCAAUGGCGUGAUCUUGGCUGACUGCAACCUCCGCCUCCUGGGUUCAAGCGAUUCUCCUGCCUCAGCCUCCUGAGUAGCUGGGAUUACAGGCAUGCACCACCAUGCCCAGCUAAUUUUGUGUUUUUAGUAGAGAUGGGGUUUUUCCAUGUUGGUCAGGGCUGGCCUGGAACUCCCGACCUCAGGUGAUCCACCUGCCUCGGCCUCCCAAAGUACUGAGAUAACAGGUACCCACCACCACACCAGGCUAAUUUUUUAUUUUAGUAGAGACGGGGUUUACCGUGUUGGCCAGGCUGGUCUCAUACUCCUGACCCCCAUGUGAUCCACCCACCUCAGCCCCCCAAAGUGCUGGGAUUACAGGCGUGAGCCACCAUACCUGGCCAGAAAAUUAAAACUUGAAAAAAAAAAAGGUGUUAGUGGUAGAUCACCAUAAUCUGACAUAGAACUUUUUUUUUUUUUUUUUUUUUGAGACUGAGUUUUGCUCUUGUUCCCCAGGCUAGAGUGCAAUGUGACGGUCUCAGCUCACUGCAACCUCCACCUCCAGUGUUCAAGAGAUUCUCCUGCCUCAGCCUCCUGAAUAGCUGGGAUUACAGGCAUGUGGCACCACGCCCAGCUAAUUUUUUGUAUUUUAAGUGGAGAUGGGGUUUCACCAUGCUGUCCAGGCUGGUCUGGAACUCCUGACCUCAGGUGAUCCACCCGCCUCGGCCUCCCAAAGUGUUGGGAUUACAGGCAUGAGCCAUUGUGCCUGGCCCUGACAUAGAACUUUGAAGGAGUUCAAAGAAUUGAGUUCCAUUGCUUCAUAAAUCCUGGGUGGGAAAAUGCUAAUUUAUGUAAAGAAAAGUUGUCAGCUCUUUUAUCUAUAAAAAUGAAAAAUGCUGGGUGUGGUGAUGCAUGCCUGUCCCAGCUAUUCGGGACAGGUGAAGUGAGAGGAUCUUGAGUCCAAGAGUUGGAGGCAAGCCUGGGCAACAUUAAUGCAAGCAACAUGGUGAGAACAAGUCUCUUAAAAAAAAAUGAAAAAUAGGCCAGGCAUGGUGUCUCACUCCUGUAAUCCCAGCACUUUCAGAGUCCGAGGUGGGUGGAUCACGAGGUCAGGAGAUAGAGACCAUCUGGCUAACACGGUGAAACCCUGUCUCUACUAAAAAUACAAAAAAAAAAAAAAAAAAAAAAAAGGUUAGCUGGGUGUGGUGGCACGCGCCUGUAGUCCCAGCUACUCGGGA